CAGUGGUGGAUCAGUGUCCUCACCAAAAUAGUCCGAUGGCACAAUUUUGAGCUGGUUUGUGCUGUCUGGCCUCUCUUCUUUAUUUCCAUUUUUUGAGCCAGGUUCUUAUGCCUGUUCAACUAUUCUGGACAAGAUCACUGAGGGCCCUUGCAGAAAAGAUUGAGAAGUUGAAGGAAAAUAAAAUUGGCUGUGAGAGGGAAUGAACAGAUGAUGCUGCAGGAUGAAAUUGCAGCCUUCAGAGCAGAAGUUGAGAACAGUUGCUACUUUGCUUAAAGGUCAUUGCUCACAUUUCAAUAGGAAUGGGUGGUGAUGUCACAUUUUGAACCUGUUGUCUUUGUCUAGGGUGGGCCCUACCCUUUUCUACCAGUUAUCUGUUUACCUUUUAACAUAAUUAGGCAGACCAGAUUGGCAUUUAGUCUUGUUCUGACAACGGCAAAUUAGGCUUAACUCUUUAAUUACAAUGAGAAGGAAAUCACCUUUCUGAUAUCCUUCAAUUAGCUCAAGCAGCUGUUAAGUUAUAAUUAAAAUUUCACAUGGAUCAUUUGAGUUCUUGGAAUGUUUCCAUUUAAUAACAAAACAUUUGCAUAUAUGCAUUCAGUUUUCAACAACCUUUUCAAAUCUGUCAAUGGUAAACCAAGAACAUUGAUACAGUAUUAAACAAAAUCUUUGUCAUCUUGUAAGCAGACACCUGGGUCCUACAAAAUGAAAAAUGGAAAUAGAAGAAGGUGAUCAAAGAAUAUUAGUGCCUCCAAGUUUUCUGGAGCUUGUUCAUAGAAUUAAAUUUUUGUUUAAUUUACAGUUCUCCAAGAGGGGAGAAAAACACUAAC